UUCUCAUUUUGUUACGCCACUGUCAAAACAUUAAGUUCUUCUUUUUAUUUUUAUGUUGACUUAUGACGUGUGAGGUGUUUUGACAGUGACAAUUAAUUAAUUUCGAUGAUUGAAAUAUUUGUUACCUGCUGAGCAUUAUAAACUAAAAUCUAGAAUAUAAGCUUUAAAUGUUGUUUCUUUUUCUUACAGAGAGAAACACAAUUGAGUUUUUUAUUCACCAAAAGUUUGAUGGUUAAAAACAUUAUUACA
rnacentral:lncRNA from 1 species